GAAACCAACAGGGAUUGCCCUAGUAACGGCGAGUGAAGCGGCAACAGCUCAAAUUUGAAAUCUGGCUCUCUAGGGGGUCCGAGUUGUAAUUUGCAGAGGGUGCUUCGGCGUAGCAGCGGUGUAGGUUCCUUGGAACUGGGCGUCAUAGAGGGUGAGAACCCCGUCUGUCGCCGCCUUGCGAUCGCUUUGUGAAGCCCCUUCGAAGAGUCGAGUUGUUUGAGAAUGCAGCUCUAAAUGGGAGAUAAAUUUCUUCUAAAGCUAAAUACCUGCCAGAGACCGAUAGCGCACAAGUAGAGUGAUCGAAAGAUGAAAAGCACUUUGGAAAGAGAGUGAAAAAGUACGUGAAAUUGUUGAAAGGGAAGCGCUUGCAGCCAGACUUGCCUGCGGUUGAUCAGCUAAGCUUCUGCUUAGUGCAUUCUUCUGUAGGCAGGCCAGCAUCAGUUCGGGCGGCUGUAGAAAAGCUUUAGGAAUGUAGCUCCUCUCGGGGAGUGUUAUAGCCUAGGGUGUAAUGCAGCCUGCCUGGACUGAGGUCCGCGCUUCGGCUAGGAUGCUGGCGUAAUGGCUGCAAGCGGCCCGUCUUGAAACACGGACCAAGGAGUCUAACAUCUAUGCGAGUGUUUGGGUGUCAAGCCCGGGCGCGUAAUGAAAGUGAACAGGUGGGAUCCCUUCUGGGUGCACCAUCGACCGAUCCUGAUGUCUUCGGAUGGAUUUGAGUAAGAGCAUAGCUGUUGGGACCCGAAAGAUGGUGAACUAUGCUUGAAUAGGGUGAAGCCAGAGGAAACUCUGGUGGAGGCUCGCAGCGGUUCUGACGUGCAAAUCGAUCGUCAAAUUUGGGCAUAGGGGCGAAAGACUAAUCGAACUAUCU
rnacentral:rRNA from 1 species